rnacentral:rRNA from 1 species
AUAGAUACCCAGGUAGUCCACGCCGUAAACGAUGGAUGCUAGCUGUUAUGAGUAUCGACCCUUGUAGUAGCGAAGCUAACGCGUUAAGCAUCCCGCCUGUGGAGUACGAGCGCAAGCUUAAAACAUAAAGGAAUUGACGGGGACCCGCACAAGCGGUGGAGCGUGUUGUUUAAUUCGAUGAUAAGCGAAGAACCUUACCAAGGCUUGACAUCCCUGGAAUUUCUCCGAAAGGAGAGAGUGCCUUCGGGAAUCAGGUGACAGGUGAUGCAUGGCCGUCGUCAGCUCGUGUCGUGAGAUGUUUGGUUAAGUCCAUCAACGAGCGCAACCCUUGUAAAUAGUUGAAUUUUUCUAUUUAGACUGCCUCGGUAACGGGGAGGAAGGAGGGGAUGAUGUCAGGUCAGUAUUUCCCUUACGCCUUGGGCUACAAACACGCUACAAUGGCCGGUACAAAGGGCAGCCAACCCGCGAGGGGGAGCAAAUCCCAUCAAAGCCGGUCUCAGUUCGGAUAGCAGGCUGAAAUUCGCCUGCUUGAAGCCGG